CACUCAUUCAAAGAGUGCGUAAUAGCUCACUGGUCGAGUGACUUUGCGCCGAAAAUUCAACGGGGCUAAAACCUGCACCGAAGCUUAGGCAGCGUCUUUGACGCUGGGUAGGGGAGCGUUGUAUACGAGGUGAAGCAUUAGCGCAAGCGGGUGUGGAUUGUAUACAAGUGAGAAUGCCGGAAUGAGUAGCGAGAAUGAUGUGAGAAUCAUCAUGGCCGAAAGCCUAAGGUUUUUGGAGGAAGGUUCGUCCGCUCCAAGUUAGCCGGGAGCUAAGGUAAGGCCGAAAGGCGUAGCCGAUGCACAUACGGUAGAGAUUCCGUAGCCACCGAAAGAGUUAAGCAUGGGGACACUUUUGAAGUGUUGGAGCCGGGAGUUGGUUCCGGUAGUGAUCGAGUGAAAUUAGUAGCGAAGUCCAGCAUGGAAGAUGGCGAGAAAAGCCAUGUGUAUUUCUAAGGUGCCCGUACCGCAAACCGACACAGGUAGGUAGGAAGAAGAUUCUAAGGCCAACGGGAGAAGGGUUGUUAAGGAACUCGGCAAGUUGACCCCGUAACUUCGGAAUAAGGGGUGCUCAGAGAUGGAGCCGCAGAGAAUCGGCCCAAGCAACUGUUUAGCAAAAACACAGGUCUGUGCUAAAUCGAAAGAUGACGUAUACGGGCUGACGCCUGCCCGGUGCUGGAAGGUUAAGAGGAGAUGUGCAAGCAUUGAAUCGAAGCCCCAGUAAACGGCGGCCGUAACUAUAACGGUCCUAAGGUAGCGAAAUUCCUUGUCAGGUAAGUUCUGACCCGCACGAAAGGCGUAAUGAUUUGGGCACUGUCUCAACAGCCCGCCCGGCGAAAUUGUAGUACCGGUGAAGAUGCCGGUUACCCGCGACAAGACGGAAAGACCCCAUGGAGCUUUACUGUAGCCUAAUAUUGGGUUUCGAUAUUGCAUGUACAGGAUAGGUGGGAGACUGGGAAACAGAGGCGUUAGCCUUUGCGGAGUCACCCUUGGGAUACCACCCUUGCGAUAUUGGAAUUCUAACCUGCGGCCGUGAAUCCGGCCGGGGGACAUUGUUAGGUGGGCAGUUUGACUGGGGCGGUCGCCUCCUAAAGCGUAGCGGAGGCGUUCAAAGGUUGGCUCAGCUUGGACGGAAACCAAGCCAAUGAGUGCAAACGCAUAAGCCAGCCUAACUGCGAGACCGACGGGUCGAGCAGUAACG
rnacentral:rRNA from 1 species